GGACAGGUGGCCGAGUGGCUGAAGGCGCUCGCUUGGAAAGCGAGUUUACGUUAAUCGCGUAACGAGAGUUCGAAUCUCUCCCUGUCCG
rnacentral:tRNA from 1 species